UCGUCUGUUUGCUGUUCUCGAUGUCAGCACCUCGCUGUCAGAACCAUCAGAAUUUUGCUGAUUGUUUCUUCUUAUUCGUAGAACCUUCUCAUCCAGGGACUUCCACGGGGUAGCUAUGCCAUAGGGACUGUCGUGUCGAAUACCGUCAUUGUUCAAGGAGUUCACAAUCUGUUGUCUGGAAGCACACUAGACAGCUGGAUUCUGCCACCUCAAGUUGGCACUGUGUCUAAGGAUCCCCAGGAAGCAGGCAAACUUGAACUUGCAUCUAAGGAAACCAGGAAAAGGAAGCAGGAUGACAGAAGGAGGAGCUCUGAUACUGCCUCUACCAUCUGAAGAAAAAUCACCUGACAUUUAUUACUUACCAGAGAGCAGGUUGGAAGCAGUCAGCCUCCUUGCUCUUGGUCUGGGGACAAGCUGGAUGCAAUGAAAGCAGCUGCUUUGCCCUCCUGUCGCUGCCUUCUCCUCCGUGGUGAACUGUGGCCAUUCUUAAAUAGUGACCCAAGAAUCCUGGGAAAUACACCCCCUCUGCAAACUGAAUCUUCUCUGAGGAGCCUAUAGAUCUAACUAACAAUGGAAUCCACUCAUAGAUCUUCCUUCUGUCAGAACAGACCAGUGAUUUAUGAAAUAUCUCAACUGGAUGUGGCAAUAAAAAUGUGUUCCAUUGUCUUUGGGAGGGAGAAAGAAAGGGCCCCAAGACUGCAAGAUGGUCAAGGUGUGUCAACGCCCCGCCUCCUCUCAGCAUCCUGACCACAUCCAUCAUCAUCAAAUCUCCCCCUCACCUCAGCAGAACUGUAAGUAGUCCUGCCUGUCACAGGUCACCGGCAGCAGGAGGUAGGCAGUUUGGGCCCCAGUCACUUCUGGUGAGGAGAGGACCAGAGCUGUUUCUACAUGGUAAGAGAAUCAGGCUAUGAGGUGUUUCGUUGACCUCUGUCAUCUUCCCACAGCAUCUUCCCGGUUGCCACGCUACAAUCAGCUUUGCUCGGCUGUGGGCUUCAGGCCUGCAGUUUCUGCCCACUCAGAAGCUCAUUAGAAAUGCAGGCUCUCGUCCCUCCCAGACCUGCUGAGGCAGCAUCUGUCUGCACUUUAACAAAAUUCCUGGGGUUCUUAAGGUCUAAGACCCGCCAGCAUCUCGAAUGAUCAGUCAGGAGCCUGGAGGGCAGUCUGUGGCCCCUGCUGUCCAGCACCCGAGUGGAAACCCCGAGCCCCAUCUCCCAAGAUCACAGGAUCUUUCUGGCCAGUACUGGCUUAUAUUGCAGAGACUGGCCUCCAACACAUGGCAGUCUUCCCUCUUCAGCAGGUUUACAGUGAUGGAGUGUGAAACUUCUCCAAGUGGCUGUCGGUCAAGGUGUAAUCACGGCAACGGAAAGGAAAGCAGGACAGAGUUUAUCAAUGAACUUUUCAGACUCCUACAUUAAAACGUCUAGGUGUCUCUUUUGCUCUGAUUAGAUCAUGUGCCCACACAUGGUUUUGAA